UACGUAGGGUGCGAGCGUUGUCCGGAAUUACUGGGCGUAAAGAGCUCGUAGGUGGUUUGUCGCGUUGUUCGUGAAAACCGGGGGCUUAACCCUCGGCGUGCGGGCGAUACGGGCAGACUUGAGUACUGCAGGGGAGACUGGAAUUCCUGGUGUAGCGGUGGAAUGCGCAGGUAUCAGGAGGAACACCGGUGGCGAAGGCGGGUCUCUGGGCAGUAACUGACGCUGAGGAGCGAAAGCGUGGGGAGCGAACAGG
rnacentral:rRNA from 1 species